UACGUAGGGUGCGAGCGUUACUCGGAAUUACUGGGCGUAAAGCGUGCGCAGGCGGUUAUGUAAGACAGGUGUGAAAUCCCCGGGCUUAACCUGGGAACUGCAUUUGUGACUGCAUAGCUAGAGUACGGUAGAGGGGGAUGGAAUUCCGCGUGUAGCAGUGAAAUGCGUAGAUAUGCGGAGGAACACCGAUGGCGAAGGCAAUCCCCUGGACCUGUACUGACGCUCAUGCACGAAAGCGUGGGGAGCAAACAGG
rnacentral:rRNA from 1 species